rnacentral:misc_RNA from 1 species
GAAAUGCGAUAAGUAAUGUGAAUUGCAGAAUUCAGUGAAUCAUCGAAUCUUUGAACGCACAUUGCGCCCGCCAGUACUCUGGCGGGCAUGCCUGUCCGAGCGUCAUUUCAACCCUCAAGCCCCAGCGGUUUGGUGUUGGGCGUCGGCCGUCCUCGCGGCGGCCGUGCCCCAAAUACAGUGGCGGACUCGCUGUUGCCUCCUCUGCGUAGUAAUUACACCUCGCACCGGAACGACACGAAGUCCACGCCGUAAAACAACCCAAUUUCUGAAUGUUGACCUCGGAUCAGGUAGGAAUACCCGCUGAACUUAA